AGGGUAUUUAAUAGGGGGCCGGGUUAUGGAUCCUGGGGGCCCAAGUUAUGCAGGGUUUAAAUAUAUAUCCCUAUUUUUUGCUUUUGGGGGCCAAGGCCUCUCCCCUUCAAAUUGCCAAAGUGGAUAGUUAGCUAGGCCCCUAAGGUCCCCUUAGGGAGGAUCCCUAUGUUUGGGAGGAUGACCCAGCCCCUAUAGAAUUGGGACCCGUCCAAGAUCUGGCAGGCAGCAGGUAAAAAAGGGUAGGCGGGGCAGCUUUGAUGCACCCAUGCCGCGUGUGUGUGAAGAAGGCCUUCGGGUUGUAAAGCACUUUCAGCGAGGAGGAAGGGUUCAGUGUUAAUAGCACUGUUCAUUGACGGAACGUUACUCGCAGAAGAAGCACCGGCGCCCUUAACUCCGUGUGUCCAGCAGCCGCGGUAAUACGGAGGGUGCAAGCGUUAAUCGGAAUUACUGGGCGUAAAGCGCACGCAGCGGCGGUUUGUUAAGUCAGAUGUGAAAUCCCCGCGCUUAACGUGGGAACUGCAUUUGAAACUGCAAGCUAGUAGUCUUGUAGAGGGGGGUAGAAUUCCAGGUGUAGCGGUGAAAUGCGUAGAGAUCUGGAGGAAUACCGGUGGCGAAGGCGGCCCCCUGGACAAAGACUGACGCUCAAAAGGUGCGAAAGCCUUGGUGGGGAGCAAACAACGGAUUAGAUACCCUGGUAGUCCACGCCGUAAACGAUGUUUACGACUUGGAGGUUGUGCCCUUGAGGCGUGGCUUCCGGAGCUAACGCGAUUUUAAGUCGACCGCCUGGGGAGUACGGCCGCAAGGUUAAGGAACUCAAAUGGCAAUAUUGACGGGCGGGCCCGCACAAGCGGUGGAGCAUGUGGUUUAAUUCGAUGCCAAACGCGAAGAACCUUACCUACUCUUGACAUCCAGAGAAUUCGCUAGAGAUAGCUUAGUGCCUUCGGGAACUCUGAGACAGGUGCUGCAUGGCUGUCGUCAGCUCGUGUUGUGAAAUGUUGGGUUAAGUCCCGCAACGAGCGCAACCCUUAUCCUUUGUUGCCAGCACGUAAUGGUGGGAACUCAAAGGAGACAGGGCUACACUGCCGGUGAUAAACCGGAGGAAGGUGGGGAUGACGUCAAGUCAUCAUGGCCCUUACGAGUACGUGCUACAAUGGCGUAUACAAAGAGAAGCGAACUCGCGAGAGUCCCCCAAGCGGACCUCAUAAAGUACGUCGUAGUCCGGAUCGGAGUCUGCAACUCGACUCCGUGAAGUCGGAAUCGCUGUAAACUGUGAGAUCAAGCUCGUCUUGGCCCCCGGCCCCCCUCCCCCUGGGGAAUGGGGUGCCAAAAAAAAUUGUUCCUCCCCCGGGGGCCUUCACUAACCUGGUUAGUUAACCCAUAA
rnacentral:rRNA from 1 species